rnacentral:lncRNA from 1 species
GUCAGAUGGUUGAUUAGAGAAAACAGGUUCUCAUAAAGGUGGAGGUCAUGUCUCCAUGAAGCAGGUUUUCUGCUCCUGAAGGUGGACUCUUUUCUUCGUCACUCACUGAGGUGAUGAGGAGAACAUGUUCUUCAGAAGUUCUUUACUCAGGUUCUUGAAAUAACAGGCAGUGAAGGAGAAAACUGCUGCUGAUCACAGCGUCAGAGAGGAAAUUACAGCCUGUGUUAACUGAGAGUACGUUUUAUUUUCUACUCUCUGACUAAAGUUAAAAAAAAACUGAAGUCGAGGCGUUUGAGACUCUUCAUGUCUGUUUUUGUUUCUCUCUGACCCCAAAUUUUCACCACAUCAGCAGCGAUUUUCGCUGUUCGCCAGUUUGUACCCGAUCUGUUUGUGAGGUGAAUUUUGUGGUGGAUUACAGACAGCAGGAAUCAGGAGAACUCACAAGAACCCGCAGAUUCACGUUCAAUCACACGAUAACGAGUCGUCUCUCUAAAGACAGACACAUAGACAUAUAGGCAGUAGAUUGUGUCCUUCCAGAGGAGGAAAUCUACUUCUAGACUUCUAGAAUCAGCAUCUCCUCAUCCAUGGUGUCAUCGGGGUGAAAUGACGUCUAAAAACCUUUCACUUGUUCGUCUCCGCCCGUUUGCAUGGUGUGAAAUACGAUCCUCCUGAAACACGGAGUGUUUUAUUUUGAAAAGAAGCCGGAUGUUUUAUUUUGAAGUCUGUGUCCGACUUCCUUUCCAGCACGGGUUAAUCUGUGCUGAAUUUAUCCGCCAUGCUCCGGCGUCCAGAAAAAAUAGAACUCUUGUGAUCAGCUGAGGAGUCCGGCGAUCCGCAGAGGAACGGAAAGAAGUCGGUGUAAAUUGACACGUUAACUUGAAUGGUUACGAUCAGCUACGAUCGGAGGAUACGACCUUUUAGGAGACGAUCAGGAUGAAGGUGGAGGUCGGGGGUCAGUCUUUAUAUCUUUGAAACUGGAGCGAAAUAAAACAUUUCCUCUUGUAUUUGAUAAAGAAAUGAAAUCUUAAAAAUAUAUUUUUACAUCAGCGGAUUUUCCUCGGUGAUCAUGGUUAUUAUCUUUAGCAGUCGGCCCCUUGUGGACAUUUGAGGAACUGCAGUUUUCUGAGAGGUUAUUUCUCUGGAUCUCCUUCUCCAUGAGCGUCCAUGUUUGUUUAGAAAAAGAGCGUUUCGACCUGAAGCAGAGCUCGUGUUUCUCCCCGUCUCCUCGUUCACAGACUGUAAAAUAAAAUCUAUAUUUAUCAGCUGAUGAUCGCCCAGCUGCUCCGCUCAUCUCCAGGACGUCGACGCAGAGCUCUAUCCACUGACUGUUAACAAUCUCUGCAGGGUUGUUCAAGGUGCCUGGUGCAGGUUUUCAAGGCCUUAUUUUCAUUCAGCGUUCACUCUGCAGUCAGAGCCGCUCUCUGAAUUAUUCCUCCACAUCUGCAGUCGGCGUGUCUGACGUCCGUUUUCCCAGGAAUCAAAUCUUCUGCUCUCUGAAAGACGUUUCAUGAUUGUAGAGGAUCGGAGCGCUCUACUUUAACUUCUGCUGCUUCGUCACUCACAUGUCGGAGCAGAAUGAGCGGUUCUGAUGAGUGUUUCUGGGUUUGAUAGAAGGAUAAUGGUUCUGUAAUGGUUGUAGAAGCUCCAUAAACCUGUCUGCAGCUCACAGUCCAUCAGGAGAUAUCCUGGGGCUCGCUCAGCUGUCAGCGGAGCGGGUUUGAGUCCUAAUGAUGCUCCUGUGUGUGUGUGUGUGUGUGUGUGUGUGUGUGUGUGUGUGUGUGUGUGUGUGUGUGUGUGAAUAGAAAUUGUCGGCUGCUGAGUGUCGGCCGUCUGACAAGCAAAGAGAAAGGCGAGGAAAGACGAGGGUUAGAGUCUGGCAGGUGUGCAGAGGACCCUUCAAUAUGCUGAUGACACCCCCACCUGGAUCUGGCAGGUGUGUGUGUGUGUGUGUGUGUGCGUGUGUUCAGAGACCUCUCUCCUCCCCCCUAUCUCCCCCUCUCCCCUCUCCUCUGCCCGGCGCCGCAGGGUUAAACAUGAAUAAUAAAUCCCGGCUCCUUAUGGCGAGCUGAGAGGAGACGGUGUAUGCAGCAGACGUCAUCGUUGAUGGUGUCGGAGUGACGGCGGAGAGGACGGCUGUUCAGUCUGAGAGGAGCCUCACUGUCAACACGUCCUUCUGUGUUUGUUUUAGAGGGAUCUCUGGGUUUUUGGAAAGACGAGUCCUGACAGUUCUGAACAAAUGAUCCCAUUUCAUACAUUUACACACAAACUUAAAGCUCCUAUGAGGAAUUUUGGGUUUGUGUUGAUUUUGGCGCCCCCUGUGGACAGAGCAGUCUUUGCUUAUCUUGUCUUCUAUGAGUUUAAGUGAUGAAAAAUCUCAUCCUGCCGUCGUAAACAGUCUGAAUAUUUCAUGUAGAAAUUAAAAAACAGGGCUGUUCCUCGAGCGAGCAGGAGCGUCUGUUUGUGGGCGGGGCUUGAGGGGAGAGGAGGAGCUGAGGGGAAAACUGGUUGGAGGGGUAGAGUUUACAUUCAAGAUUUCUCCUAAAAACUGGAACUAACUCAGAUCCUGACUACACCACCUUUAAUUAAAAAAUAAUGCUGUGACCAAUUAUUUCAUGUUUCUAGUUUCGAUCAUGUUCCAUCUGUUUACAUGGAAAAGGCUAAAGGGUUAAAGACCUUUACAGCUGCUGGUCACCAGGGGGAGCUCUCGUAGUCACGGUUUCUGUGGUUUUGAAAAUAGUUUUCUGUUUAAAAAAUAAAAAAGAAUUUAAAAAAUCAGGAGACGUUCGAGUCGAUUUCUGGUAAAACUGGUGAUCGUUAGCUUGAUCAGUUUCUGAAGGCUCAUCGUUAAAAUCACCACUGUGACUUUUUUACAGAGUUUCUUUUGUUGAUUCAGGAGAUCGUCGGACUGCUGCUUGUUCUUGGUCUUUGUCUGUUUCUCCUCUAAAUAAUCUUUAUUUUUUAACUCACAGUUUUACAUACAGUCGUUAAAAUUAACGAAUCAUUAACUGAGCUGCAAAGACAGACACCAAGUUUUACUCUCAGAUAAUCGAGGUCCCGUAGACGUCUAACCUCCUGGUUUUGGAGUCAACACUGGAGGAAACACUAAGCAGCCUAAAAUCAGAAGAAACGAUGGACUGAUAAAACUUGAGUUUAAAGGUCAAUGUGGUCGGACAAACCGAGAAAACAAUAGAGAGUGAAUAAAUAAAAAACAACAUUUUGACAUUUAAAUGGAGAUAAAGAGUAAGUCUAAAAACACACCUGCUGUCGGAGCGUUUCCCCAAAGGUGCUGAAAUAAAAACAGGAGAGAGAGCCGACCGUAAAUCUUAGACGAGUCGCUGCUCCAAAAAAACAACCUGACGUUUUAUUUUGAGCCGAUAAAAAAUCUCAUUUUCAGUUUUUGUACCUGAUAAAGAUGUAAUAAUAAUAAUAAUAAUGUUAUAACAUAAUAAUGUUAGAGUGAUUUUAACAUUUAAGCAGCGAUGUAGAUUUCCAACCUGACAAAACCAGAUUCACUUCAGAUACUAAAGAACCAAAGAAAGUUUACAGUUUUACUUUGACACUUCAUGACGUUAUUCUGGUCUCCUACAGAUCAGGUCCAGAAGGAUACAGCUGGAGAAAACCAGGACUAUUUACAGCGAAACUAAGACCUCCAGAAACAGCUGAAGUGGUGCUCCUCCCUAACAGAUAUAUAUCAGAGAAAUCCGAAAAAAACACAAAAAUCCAGAACGGCUCUGAUCCUGAACUGCGGUGAUUUUCGCAGUACUCCAAUCCGGAUCCGUUUGUGAGGUGAAUUUUGGCGGAUGGCGGAUUACAGACAGCGGGACUCAUGAGAACUCACAAGAACCUGCAGAUUCAUGUUCAAUCUCACGAUAACGAGUUGUCUCUCUAAAGACAGACACAUAGACAUAUAAGCAGUAGAUUGUGUCCUUCCAGAGGAGGAAAUCUACUUCUAGACUUCUAGAAUCAUCAUUUAUCCGCCAUGCUCCGGCGUCCAGAAAAAAUAGAACUCUUGUGAUCAGCUGAGGAGUCCGGCGAUCCGCAGAGGAACGGAAAGAAGUCGGUGUAAAUUGACACGUUAACUUGAAUGGUUACGAUCAGCUACGAUCGGAGGAUACGACCUUUUAGGAGACGAUCAGGAUGAAGGUGGAAGUUCGGGGGUUAGCGCUUCAGUGUUCACAGAGUCAAACGGUAGAGAACAAAAGAAGGUUAAAGAAGAGCAGGAGUCACGGCCCUGAGGACGCUCUUCGUCAUGCUGGGGAGGUCAGGU